rnacentral:rRNA from 1 species
UGGGGAAUAUUGCACAAUGGGCGCAAGCCUGAUGCAGCCAUGCCGCGUGUGUGAAGAAGGCCUUCGGGUUGUAAAGCACUUUCAGCGAGGAGGAAGGCAUUAAGGUUAAUAACCUUAGUGAUUGACGUUACUCGCAGAAGAAGCACCGGCUAACUCCGUGCCAGCAGCCGCGGUAAUACGGAGGGUGCAAGCGUUAAUCGGAAUUACUGGGCGUAAAAGCGCACGCAGGCGGUUUGUUAAGUCAGAUGUGAAAUCCCCGAGCUUAACUUGGGAACUGCAUUUGAAACUGGCAAGCUAGAGUCUUGUAGAGGGGGGUAGAAUUCCAGGUGUAGCGGUGAAAUGCGUAGAGAUCUGGAGGAAUACCGGUGGCGAAGGCGGCCC